UUUUCAUUUUCUGAAAGCUAUUUCAUUUUCGAACAAAUUUUAUGAAGAGAGUUUAAGCAAAUUCUGAGGUUUAUUGGGUGAUUUUCACACAAAAGACAAAGCAAGUGUUUUCAUGCGAAAUCAGGAGGUCUCUGGUUUUUCUUGUAUUUCGGAGUGUACCGGUGGAAUUAGGAUCUCUAUUUAUUAUGGUUGGAAAGCUUAUUCAAUUUACUACAACUUUUAUGAAGAAAUUGUGAACUAAAUAUGAUUGGAAGUAAGCUUAAUUUCAUAAACAAGUCAGGGGAUAGCAGAAGACUCCGUUUUUGAACACUCUCUGUUUCGGGCCAAUUCUGUAGCAAUCUGUUGGGAAUCGUAUUUUCCUUCAUUCAUAUAAUUUAUAGAGGACAUCAAAAUGAAGAUUUUGACAUAAAUAACACUCAUUUUGGUUAAGUAUUGGAAGAGUUAUGAUCAUUUGAAGUUCAUGUUGCGAAUCUGGAAAAUUUUGAGAAAUGUGUUGUCGAGGUGAUUUUGAUAUGGUUUAAAUAAAUUUUAGUGGGUUCUCUCAUGUUUGGGUGCUUGUGGCAUUAAGAGUUUAAGUUGAAGUUUAAGGGUCAAAAUAGCCUAAAGUAAACCAUUUGGGGGAUUGUUCAAUCUAAAUCUUAGAAGUACUUAAGGUUGUUGGUCCCUUGUUGAUAUAAUGGACAUAAAUCCACAUAAACGAUCCAUUGAGCUUGUUGUAUCUACAUAAAAGACCCGUUGAAUUUGAACUAACUUGGAUGCUCAUGGGGUUAAGUAUCUAGAUUUCAAGUCCAAGGGUUCGUAGGUGAAAGGCUUAGUCUAAUCCUAAGCGCUUUGACAAAUUGAGGACCUUAGAAACAUAAAAUAGAUCUAGGUGGCCUUAUGAAGUUUAAAGUUAGUUGGUUCAUGUUGACAUAGUCGAUUUAAAUCUAAAUAUCUAAAUUUGAAGUUUAAAGGUUUGAAGUGGAUUUUUAGUCUAGUCCAAGAAGAUUUGAGAAUGUAAGGACUCAACAAAUGUAAAAUAGUUUGAAUGCUCGUAAUGAAGUAAUUUUAGAGAUUAUUGUGUUGUCUUGCUAAGUGAAGACAAUGAUGUGACCUUGAACGUUGUUUAAGGCCAAAUUGAAGUGGGGAAAGCGUAAAAUCCCGGGGGAUCGAGUAAUUGAUUGUGAGUGGUUAUUUUCAAAUAUUUUCGUUAUAAAUUUAUAUAUGUUAUUAUAGUACGUUGUAAUUGUGACGAUUACUUGUAUGAUUGUUUUAUGAUCUAUAUGUCAAAAGUGUUUUCAAAUAUGAAUUUCGGUAUUCCAUGAACUCUUGUACUUCAGAAUUGUGGUUGAAACCAACUUUACUAAAUAAGUUCUAGAUGACAACUGAUUUCUAAAAUCUUCAUUGAUUUAUAACUAGAUUUAAAUAAGUUCUAAAAGUAUGUAUUGAUGGCAAAAGAUCAAAAAUGAUGUGAAAAUGAGUUUCUAACUAUGUUUGGUUUUAAACUUGAAUUAUGUGAUAUUAUGGAUGUUGGUGAUUACCCUUAAGGCUACGUGAAUGUGUUUCCGUAGCGCCACCUACAGUUGUCAGGGGAUUCCGGGACUGAAAGAGGCUGUGACUGGAGAUCCGAGAACCUGAGCCUAGGUGAGGACAUGGAUAGAGGAUUGUGACAUGGCUUCAGGCCUAGCUUAACCCAUGGUUGGGUGGCUCUAUGUGCACAUAGGAGCGGUAUGUUGUUACCGUGGUAGGUGCUAAGUAUGUGUGAGCUCCGUUUGGCCGCGUGUUUCCUUGUGGAUUGGAUCACAUGUGAGCUAUCCUUGGGUCGUAUGCUUAGUAUGUUAUCAUGGAUGGAUUGGAUUGGUUGGAUUGGAUUGGUUGAAUCGGAUUGGAUGGAGGUUGUUAUCGUGGUGGGUACUAAAUAUGUGUGAGCUAGUUUUGGUCGCAUGAUUUUUAGUCAUGUGCGAACUAUCUUUGGCCGUAUAUUUAGAUGCCUUUCCAUGGUUGGUUUGGAUACAGAUUUGUUGGCCUUACUUAUGAUUUAUGGUAACGGUUAAGGACUAAGCAUUGGUUGUGCUUUCCUGGCGGUGGUUGUAGUAUCUCAUUGUGUAUUAUAUACUUAUGCAUUCUAUUGUAUUAUUGGGUUAUUAGAAGAAAUGAGAGUCAUGAUGAGAAUUUGAGUCAGAGAGAUCUUUUAUUAAAUUGUAAUUCCUUUGUAACUAGUUUGUAGUUGAAUAUAAACUUUGUUUGGGAUUCUGGAUUAUGUUGGAUGAGUGUGUGGUGAGAGACACUCGAGGAUAAUUGAGUUUUGAAAAGUAUAGAAGUGUGUCUUUCUUCUA